GACGAACGCUGGCGGCGUGCUUAACACAUGCAAGUCGAACGGAAAGGCCCUGCUUUUGUGGGGUGCUCGAGUGGCGAACGGGUGAGUAACACGUGAGUAACCUGCCCUUGACUUUGGGAUAACUUCAGGAAACUGGGGCUAAUACCGGAUAGGAGCCCCUGCUGCAUGGUGGGGGUUGGAAAGUUUCGGCGGUUGGGGAUGGACUCGCGGCUUAUCAGCUUGUUGCUGGGGUAGUGGCUUACCAAGGCUUUGACGGGUAGCCGGCCUGAGAGGGUGACCGGCCACAUUGGGACUGAGAUACGGCCCAGACUCCUACGGGAGGCAGCAGUGGGGAAUAUUGCACAAUGGGCGGAAGCCUGAUGCAGCAACGCCGCGUGCGGGAUGACGGCCUUCGGGUUGUAAACCGCUUUCGCCUGUGACGAAGCGUGAGUGACGGUAAUGGGUAAAGAAGCACCGGCUAACUACGUG
rnacentral:rRNA from 1 species